rfam:Triticum aestivum genome assembly, contig: Triticum_aestivum_CS42_TGACv1_scaffold_602914_7DL
UACGUACUCCCUCCGUUCAAUAAUACUUGUCAUCAAAAUGGAUAAAAAAAAAUGUAUCUAGAACUAAAAUAUCUCUAGAUACAUCUCCUUUUAUCCAUUUUGAUGACAAGUAUUUCCGGACGGGGGAGUAAUAA